CCGGCUAGCUCAGUCGGUAGAGCAUGAGA
rnacentral:piRNA from 11 species